CCUAAUACAUGCAGUCGAGCGGACCGACGGGAGCUUGCUCCCUUAGGUCAGCGGCGGACGGGUGAGUAACACGUGGGUAACCUGCCUGUAAGACUGGGAUAACUCCGGGAAACCGGGGCUAAUACCGGAUGCUUGAUUGAACCGCAUGGUUCAAUCAUAAAAGGUGGCUUUUAGCUACCACUUACAGAUGGACCCGCGGCGCAUUAGCUAGUUGGUGAGGUAACGGCUCACCAAGGCGACGAUGCGUAGCCGACCUGAGAGGGUGAUCGGCCACACUGGGACUGAGACACGGCCCAGACUCCUACGGGAGGCAGCAGUAGGGAAUCUUCCGCAAUGGACGAAAGUCUGACGGAGCAACGCCGCGUGAGUGAUGAAGGUUUUCGGAUCGUAAAACUCUGUUGUUAGGGAAGAACAAGUACCGUUCGAAUAGGGCGGCACCUUGACGGUACCUAACCAGAAAGCCACGGCUAACUACGUGCCAGCAGCCGCGGUAAUACGUAGGUGGCAAGCGUUGUCCGGAAUUAUUGGGCGUAAAGCGCGCGCAGGCGGUUUCUUAAGUCUGAUGUGAAAGCCCCCGGCUCAACCGGGGAGGGUCAUUGGAAACUGGGGAACUUGAGUGCAGAAGAGGAGAGUGGAAUUCCACGUGUAGCGGUGAAAUGCGUAGAGAUGUGGAGGAACACCAGUGGCGAAGGCGACUCUCUGGUCUGUAACUGACGCUGAGGCGCGAAAGCGUGGGGAGCGAACAGGAUUAGAUACCCUGGUAGUCCACGCCGUAAACGAUGAGUGCUAAGUGUUAGAGGGUUUCCG
rnacentral:rRNA from 1 species